rnacentral:snRNA from 1 species
GUGCUCGCUUCAGCAGCAUACAUACUAAAACUGGAACAUAACAGAGAUUAGCAUGGCCCCUGUGCAAGGAUGACACGCAAAUUCGUGAAGUGUCCCAUAUUAAA